UACAGAGGUCUCAAGCGUUGUUCGGAUUCAUUGGGCGUAAAGGGUGCGUAGGCGGCCCGGUAAGUCGGGUGUGAAAUCUCGGAGCUUAACUCCGAAACUGCAUUCGAUACUGCCGUGCUUGAGGACUGGAGAGGAGACUGGAAUUUACGGUGUAGCGGUGAAAUGCGUAGAUAUCGUAAGGAAGACCAGUGGCGAAGGCGGGUCUCUGGACAGUUCCUGACACUGAGGCACGAAGGCCAGGGGAGCAAACGGG
rnacentral:rRNA from 1 species